UACGUAGGUCCGAGCGUUGUCCGGAAUUAUUGGGCGUAAAGGGCUCGUAGGCGGUUUGUCACGUCGGGCGUGAAAACUCAGGCUCAACCCUGAGCGUGCGUUCGAUACGGGCAGACUAGAGGUAUGCAGGGGAGAACGGAAUUCCUGGUGUAGCGGUGGAAUGCGCAGAUAUCAGGAAGAACACCCGUGGCGAAGGCGGCUCUCUGGGACGGUACUGACGCUGAGACGCGAAAGCGUGGGGAGCGAACAGGG
rnacentral:rRNA from 1 species